GACGAACGCUGGCGGCGUGCUUAACACAUGCAAGUCGAACGGUAAGGCCCUGUUUUUGUGGGGUGCUCGAGUGGCGAACACGGGAGUAACACGUGAGUAGCCUGCGCUUGACUUUGGGAGAACUUCAGGAAACUCGAGCUAAUAUCGGAUAUAAGCUCUUUCUGCAUGGGGUGGGUGUGUAAGUGUCGCCGUUUGAGCAUGGACUCGCGGCGUAGCGUCGUGUUAGUGGGGUAGUGGCGUACCGAGGCGAUGACACGUAGCCGACCUGAGAGGGUGAGCGGCCCCAGUGGGACGGGGACACGGCCCAAACGCCUACGGGAGGAAGCAGUAGGGAAUCUUCGGCAAUGGACGAAAGGCUGACCGAGCAACGCCGCGUGAGUGAAGAAGGUGUGCGGAGCGUAAAACUCUGUUGGUAGAGAAGAACGUUGGUGAGAGGGGAAAGCUCAUCAAGUGACGGUAACUACCCAGAAAGAGACGGCUAACUACGUG
rnacentral:rRNA from 1 species